rnacentral:rRNA from 1 species
UAGGGAAUCUUCCGCAAUGGGCGAAAGCCUGACGGAGCAACGCCGCGUGAGUGAAGAUGGUCUUCGGAUCGUAAAACUCUGUUAUUAGGGAAGAACAAAUGUGUAAGUAACUAUGCACGUCUUGACGGUACCUAAUCAGAAAGCCACGGCUAACUACGUGCCAGCAGCCGCGGUAAUACGUAGGUGGCAAGCGUUAUCCGGAAGUAUUGGGCGUAAAGCGCGCGUAGGCGGUUUUUUAAGUCUGAUGUGAAAGUCCACGGCUCAACCGGGGAGGGGCAUUGGGAACUGGAAAACUUGAGUGCAGAAGAGGAAAGUGGAAUUCCAUGUGUAGCGGUGAAAUGCGCAGAGAUAUGGAGGAACACCAGUGGCGAAGGCGACUUUCUGGUCUGUAACUGACGCUGAUGUGCGAAAGCGUGGAGAUCAAACAGG